GUCGCAGUCUAUAUUUUACACAUUAUCAUCAUACAUUUUUUUAAUGUAUCAUCAUUAAUCGAAUAAAAAACGCUUUGCCGUCGUUAGCAGCAGCAUUGAUAUUCGUAAUUGAAAAAAGAAAACUUGUAUCUUUUUUUCUGCACAUAAUAUAAAUAAAAAAUUGUAGCAGUCAACUGGCUGCGCAUGCUCCUGCCUAUUGCCACCUCUUCCUAUUUCGACCGAGAAUGGCGGUGAGAGAAACAGGAUGUUUCCAACUGCAAAUUCCGAGUCCGAGCAACACAAUUGAACACACGCUGACACAGACACAUACUAGUGAUUUGGAGUCAAAAUAAAAUUUCGUUUUUCACACCGUUAAUGCGACAAAAUAUUAUUUCAUUUUGAAUCCAGAAAUUAGUUGGCCAUUCGAUUCGAAAAUCAACGAUUUUGUUAAAUUUUUCAUUCAAAUUCCAUUUAAUUCUUUGUUGUGUUCGAGUGCGGUUAUUUAAUUGACGCAUUGAAUCCGUGUUUUUAAUAAAACCAAAUUAUAUGACGUCUUUAUUGGAAAUUAGUUUCGUCGCAAACAUAAUCCAACACGAGUGGAAGAAAUACGAAUUGGAUUUUAGACAUUCAAAAAUAUCAUCGUUUAUGCCCGAGCGAUUAUUUUGGUUUUCUAAGCAUUGCAUUAGAAGUCGGAAAAAAUAUACUUGAUCCUUACACAUCAUACACCUGAAUAUUCCCAAUAUAUACACAGGGAAUAAAGUGAGCAGGGUAAACUGCAAGAUUGAGUGUAUACUUGCAGGUUAUUUAGCAGGCUAAACUGCAAAGUUACAUAUUAACCUCCAUCAAAGAAUGCAUAUUUAUUUUAUCAGGUUAUGGGCUCACACGACUCAACGCCCUGAUACAUUAAAAAAAAUGUAUGAUGAUAAUGUGUAAAAUAUAGACUGCGACUGCCGACUUCUUUUUUUAUUCAUUCGAUCAAAUAAAUCUAUAUAUAAAUUAACGCCCAAAUUCCACAACAUAUUGCAUUAUUGGGAAGAUGCAUUGGAAUUUGGACCAAAUUAUCGUCACUCUUCGUAUAAAUACGAACGAUUCCAUCAAUUGAACAAACGUUCAAUUUCGACAUCAAAGAAUAUGAAAAAUCCAUCUUAUUCGAUGGUGAAUUUCAUUCAGAAAAAGAUAGCCUUGACACUCUUUAAAGAAAAUUCUUUAGAGCAAA